GCAAAAUAACUGAAAAAUGUUGAGGGAAUUGUAAUAAUUUAGAAGACAAUGGCUAUUUGUGAGUAAUGAGUGCCUUGUUCCAACCAAGAGAAAUCAAUGGCCAUGUAAUUGAAUUAAAUACGGCUCCAUCCAUUGGCGCAACAGAAUUGCUAAAAACUAUGAUCAAGGAACAAUCUCCACAAUUUCGGCUACAAUUGCAGCAGUUGCUUUAGGCAUGUUUUCACAUUUCUGAAUAUUUUGUACAAGUUUGCUUAAACAACCGGGAAAUAAAUUAACUUAUUUUAACUGAAA